rnacentral:rRNA from 1 species
CCCUUAGAUGUCCUGGGCUGCACGCGCGCUACACUGAUGUGUCCAGUAAGCACCUAACCUAUUCCGAGAGGAGCGGGUAACCUUAGCAAAGCACAUCGUGAUGGGGAUAGAUUAUUGCAAUUAUUAGUCUUGAACGAGGAAUUCCUAGUAAGCACAAGUCAUCAGCUUGUGUUGAUUACGUCCCUGCCCCUUGUACACACCGCCCGUCGCUCCUACCGAUUGAAUGACUCGGUGAAAAAUUGGGACUGUGAUUGAAAUUGCUUCAUUGCGAAUUUAAUCAUGGAAACUUUCUUUAACCUAGGCAUUUAGAGGAAGGUGAAGUCGUAACA